GGCAGCGGGAGAGGCCGGGGAAGCAGAGAAACCGGGGGAAGAGGGCGCUCUAGAGGGAGCUGUCAGAUGCCGUGCUCACAGCAGAGGACUGCGAGCGGCCCACUGGGUUUAUUAACAUGUUGACCACCGGGACCUCGGCAAGGCGAUCUUAGUAAGACCGUCAUGUCCGUGUCCCCGAGGGUCCUAGCUUCUCUGGCAGAGUCCAGUUUUAUCUGAACAUCAACUAUUUGAACGUAUGUUAACUCUUCCUAACUGCACUACUACUGAGAGCCUGGGCGUGAGCUUUAAUCCAGGAGUCAGAAACCAGCCCUCGGCUGUCCCCUUUCUGAUCCCGCAGUUAUAACCUGCUUGCUAGGUCUCGGGGGGAAGGAGCCGAGGCAGAGAGCACGUCAAGGUUGUCUUCAGUAAAGAAGCAGAAUGCAUCACCAGAAACAGACUGGCAUCAGAAUGCUGUCACUCCAGAAAUAAACUGUGCAAACAGAUGAUCUACAAGUCCUCCUGACAUGUGAGACACUCCAGACACAGAGCAAUGUUUCCAGAGCUCCAAAACAGUGAGACUGGGGGGUACAGUGGUCCUGGCUGGACUGUACCCAGGAGCUCCUGGGGGGCUCUGUGUAGGAUGCUCCAAAAUGGGACUGACGCCGAGUUUACUGAAGAGGCAAAUCCUCUGAAUAACAAAGAGGGCUGACUCACACAGAUCUAAGAGUUGCUUCUGUGAUAUCAGCAGGAGAUGAAGAAUGGAUGGCUACUUUAAUCCCUCUGGACAACAAAGGAAUUUCUGUAAAAAGUCCAAACUAAUAACGAUCUUUUAAUUUCCUGCAUUACCCAGAUUAUGAAUUUGGCCCCCAGAUGUAUCUCUACUAUUGUUGUUGCUGAAGGGUUGCGUUAGGUGGAGUUUCAAGUGUCACUGUGAACACGAAUUAACCAGAAAGUCUCCCACCUGUUGCCAUCUUCUUUGAUUCUGUGUUCAGAUGUUCAAUACAGCUAUGAAAAAUGGCAUCUAGCUAUGAUGGGAAAGAUUACGAAAAAGAGAACAGAUACAAAAAUAAAUGUGGGCCUAAGCUUC